rnacentral:rRNA from 1 species
AUUGAACGCUGGCGGCAUGCCUAACACAUGCAAGUCGAACGGGGGUAGCGAUACCCUAGUGGCGGACGGGUGAGGAAUGCGUAGGAAUCGGCCCACGAGUGGGGGACAACCUGGGGAAACUCAGGCUAAUACCGCAUGAGCUCGGGAGAGGAAAGCGGGGGAUCUUCGGACCUCGCGCUGGUGGACGAGCCUACGUCCGAUUAGCUGGUUGGUGAGGUAAAGGCUCACCAAGGCGACGAUCGGUAGCGGGUCUGAGAGGACGACCCGCCACACUGGGACUGAGACACGGCCCAGACUCCUACGGGAGGCAGCAGUGGGGAACCAUUGGACAAUGGGCGCAAGCCUGAUCCAGCAAUGCCGCGUGGGUGAAGACGGCCUGCGGGUUGUAAAGCCCUUUAGGCGGGGAGGAACGACCGGACGCUAACAUCGUCUGGAAGAGACGUUACCCGCAGAAUAAGCACCGGCUAACGUCCGUGCCAGCAGCCGCGGUAAU